rnacentral:rRNA from 1 species
CUACGGGGUGCUGCAGUGGGGAAUCUUAGACAAUGGGCGCAAGCCUGAUCUAGCCAUGCCGCGUGAGCGAUGAAGGCCUUAGGGUUGUAAAGCUCUUUCAGCUGGGAAGAUAAUGACUGUACCAGCAGAAGAAGCCCCGGCUAACUCCGUGCCAGCAGCCGCGGUAAUACGGAGGGGGCUAGCGUUGUUCGGAAUUACUGGGCGUAAAGCGCACGUAGGCGGACUGGAAAGUCAGGGGUGAAAUCCCGGGGCUCAACCCCGGAACUGCCUUUGAAACUCCCAGUCUUGAGGUCGAGAGAGGUGAGUGGAAUUCCGAGUGUAGAGGUGAAAUUCGUAGAUAUUCGGAGGAACACCAGUGGCGAAGGCGGCUCACUGGCUCGAUACUGACGGUGAGGUGCGAAAGCGUGGGGAGCAAACAGGAUUAGAUACCCUUGUAGUC